rnacentral:lncRNA from 1 species
AAGCUUUGAACGACCUUGCCUUUGUCUAUAAGCAGAAUGGAAACUAAUGUUGUGACUCUGAAAGUUUCCUGAAAUGUUUUUUUUUUUUUUUUUUUUCCCCUCUUAAUUCAAGGCAAGAAGCUGCUGGAGGUGAGCCAAUGUAGUAAUCCAGAAGAAUUCAACUGUUAUGCGAAAAAGGUAGACUAAACCAGAGAGGCAUGUCUGACACUUUGCAUUAGAAAAUGCAGAGCUUCUGUAGUGGAAUCACAGCCACAAAGGAAUUCAUGUAAUAGCCCUCUUCAAAUCAAGCUUUUUCAUUUGUGUGUAUAUACCUGUGCACGUGCUUUUUUGAAGUGCCCAUAUGGUGUGAGAAGCUUCACAGCCUGGAAAAGAUAGGAGGUACAAGGUGAGUACCCCACAAGGACCACCAUCCUUUUUAAGCAGAGCUGUUCUGAGUACUCUGAUUAUAAAGAAAUGACUGGCAAACGCUUUGAGUACUAUGCUGAUGAAAAGGUGGGUGAAUGCUAUUGAUUGCUUUUAUAGCUUUUGAAACAGUAGUAUUUGAUGGUAUUGUACAUGUAGUGUUGCAACAUUCACAGGCUUCAGAUUGACUAAGACAGAGCUCAACGACUUUGUUCAGUAUAAAUAACCACCUUUUGAAUUUUAGCAUGCCUGUAGAGAUGUUUGUAUAACCCUAACACUUAAAAUUGGGAACUAGCAGAUACAGAAA